GGAAAGGCUCCCUGCCCAGAGACAUCUCCUCCACCAGCUUCUUGGAACUCCUAACAUUAAUCACCCACCUUUGGGUUAAGACUCAAACACCAUGCCUCAUCUGUAGUCCCACCCUGGAACAUGCAUCAUUUCCUGUAUCUUUCUCACCCUGGACCAGCCCUCUGCUAUGCUAACCCCCUUCUCCUGUUGAAACUCUCACAGACAUAACGAGUCACAGAACUCUAGCUCUAGAGCUGGAAGGGAGCUCAGAAACCAUC